GGUAAUGCCGGAUGCUCCAGUUGACCGCAUGGUCCUCUGGGAAAGCUUUUGCGGUAUGGGAUGGGGUCGCGUCCUAUCAGCUUGAUGGCGGGGUAACGGCCCACCAUGGCUUCGACGGGUAGCCGGCCUGAGAGGGCGACCGGCCACAUUGGGACUGAGAUACGGCCCAGACUCCUACGGGAGGCAGCAGUGGGGAAUAUUGCACAAUGGGCGCAAGCCUGAUGCAGCGACGCCGCGUGCGGGAUGACGGCCUUCGGGUUGUAAACCGCUUUUGACUGGGAGCAAGCCCUUCGGGGUGAGUGUACCUUUCGAAUAAGCACCGGCUAACUACGUGCCAGCAGCCGCGGUAAUACGUAGGGUGCAAGCGUUAUCCGGAAUUAUUGGGCGUAAAGGGCUCGUAGGCGGUUCGUCGCGUCCGGUGUGAAAGUCCAUCGCUUAACGGUGGAUCCGCGCCGGGUACGGGCGGGCUUGAGUGCGGUAGGGGAGACUGGAAUUCCCGGUGUAACGGUGGAAUGUGUAGAUAUCGG
rnacentral:rRNA from 1 species